CUUUGUUGAGGCUAUUGAACAAUUGGGGCUUUUGGUCGAGAGGAACCUGUAGCUAGUAUGGACAAUAGUGGAAAAAUCAUAUGGGCUAAGCACAAUGAAAUUCAGACUGUUAAUAUUAGGAGUGUUGGUGCAGAUUAUGAGGUUACUGGUGGAGAAAGAUAACCUUUGGUAGUGAAAGAGUUGGGGACCUGUGAUCUUUACCCACAAUGAAAAGUGCAGCAGACAGGUGCCUGUUGUCCUGAUUGGCUGGCACGAUUGCCACAUUGAAGCUCAAAUUGAGAGGUCUCUUGAUGCACAAAUGUUGGAAAAUGAAAAGCCAUGUGAUGCAAUACCAGCAGAAAAAAAGAAAGUAAAAUGCA